CCUGUUGAGUUUAAGCAUAUCAAUAAGUGGAGGAAAAGAAACUUACAAGGAUUCCCUUAGUAACGGGGAGCGAAUAGGAAAGAGCCCAACUUGAGAAUCGGGCAUCGUCAACGUUUGAAUUGUAGUCUAGAGAAGCAUCCUCAGCAGCGGACCAUGCUUUAAACAAGUCCUCUAGAAGGAGGCGUCAAAGAGGGUGAGAGCCACAUGGCAUUCGGACCCUGUCACACCACGAGGCGCUGUCAGCGAGUCAAGUUGUUUGGAAAUGCAGCCCCAAUUGAGUGGUAAAUUUUGUUUAAGGCUAAAUAUGAGCGAGAGACCGAUAGCAAACAAGUACCGAGAGGGAAAGAUGAAAAGGACUUUGAAAAUAAAGUCAAAUAGUGCUUGAAAUUGGCAGGAGGAAAGUGGAUGGGGGCUGGCAAUGUGCCUCAGUCAGAUGUAGAACGGUGAUGAGUUGGUCCACUAAUCAACUUGGGCCAUGGACCGAUGUAGAUUGAGACAACGACCUACGCCUAGGCUUUUGUUAUGCUUAUGGAGGCGUUGUGGGCUUUGGCAUCUGCGCGCUCCUGGCAUCGACUUGUGGGCUCCCCAUUUGACCCGUCUUGAAACACAAACCAAGGAGUCUAACAUGUGUACAAGUUAACGAGAGAGUAAACUCGUAAGGAGCAAGGAAGCUGACUAGUGGAAUCCCCUAGUAGAUUGUACCACCUAUCAACCUUGAUCUUCUAAUAAGGGUUCGAGUUUGAGCAUGCCUAUCGUUUUUUGACUUGUGUAUAGGGUUGAAAGACUAACUGAACCAUCUAGUAGCUAAUUCCCUCUGAAGUUUCCCUCAAGAAAGCUGGAGCCUGCGGGCGAGUUCUAUCGGGUAAAGCCAAUGAUUAGAGGCAUCGGAGGCACAACAUCCUCGACAUAUUCUCAAACUUUUGUAGGACGGUGCAGCUGCUUUGUUGAGUAGGGCAAUGGAAUCGAGAGCUCCAAUUGGGUCAUUUUUGGUAAGCAGAACUGGCGAUGCGGGAUGAACCAAAAGCUGGGGUUACGAUGCCUAAUUGCACGCUAACCUAGAUCCCACAAAGGGUAUAGGUCAAUUAAGAUACCAGGACGGUGGUCAUGGAAGUCAAAAUCCACUAAGGAGUGUGUAACAAGUCAUCUGCUGAAUCAACUAGCCCUGAAAUGGAUGGCGCUAAAGCGCAGGACCCAUACCUAACCAUCGGGGCAAGAGCCAGGCCUUGAUGAGUAAGAAAGUGUGAGGUCGCUGCAAAACCUUGAGCGUGAGCUUGGGCGGAGCGGCUGUCGGUGCAAAUCUUGGUGGUAGUAGAAAAUAUUCAAAUGAGAACUUUGAAGGCUGAAGAGGAGAAACGUUCCAUGUGAAUGGCACUUGUACAUGGGUUAGUCGAUCCUAAAAGACUGGGAAAACCCGUCAGAUAGCCCGACAGCGUGAACUUCAAAAGGGAAUUGGGUUAAAAUUCAUGAAUCUAGACGUAGCAGCUGACAAAUAUGUAAGGGAUUUUGGAGACAUCCACGGGGGCCUCGGAAAGAGUUAUCCUUUCUACUUAACAGCCUGCCCACCCUGGAAACGACUCAUGUAAACACAAGAUUCUCUUUAGAUAUUUUUUCUUUAUAUAAUAUAAAAGAAAGAAAGAAAAAAUGGAAAUUAAUUUUAUAAUAUUUUUAUAUGAUUAAAGGUUUUGUU
rfam:Cucumis melo, WGS project CAJI01000000 data, contig: 19472